rnacentral:misc_RNA from 1 species
AAGUCGUAACAAGGUUUCCGUAGGUGAACCUGCGGAAGGAUCAUCAAUGAAAUCCUGGCGCAAAGGCUCAAUUUGCCUGGCUAGGUGUCUGGCUCGUGAGAGUCGGGCCUAAAAAUUUCAGGCCCAGUGUGGGUGACUCGGCCUGGUAAACUUACCCAAACAAAACAACUUUCGGCAACGGAUCUCUCGGCUCUCC